rnacentral:rRNA from 1 species
CAAUAGCGUAUAUUUAAGUUGUUGCAGUUAAAAAGCUCGUAGUUGGAUUUCGGAUGGGAUUUGCCGGUCCGUCGUUACGAUGUGUACUGGCCAGUCCUAUCUUGUUGUCGGGGACUAGCUCCUUGGAUUCACUUCCUGGGACUAGGAGCUGACGAGGUUACUUUGAGUAAAUUAGAGUGUUCAAAGCAAGCCUACGCUCUGAAUACAUUAGCAUGGAAUAACACGAUAGGACUCUGGCUUAUCUUGUUGGUCUGUGAGACCAGAGUAAUGAUUAAGAGGGACAGUCGGGGACAUUCGUAUUUCAUUGUCAGAGGUGAAAUUCUUGGAUUUAUGAAAGACGAACUUCUGCGAAAGCAUUUGUCAAGGAUGUUUUCAUUAA